rnacentral:rRNA from 1 species
GAUGAACGCUGGCGGCGUGCCUAAUGCAUGCAAGUCGCACGCAGUCUCCUUCGGGAGGCUGAGUGGCGCACGGCUGAGAAUCACGUGGGAACCUGCCCAUCUGUGGGGGACAACACCGCGAAAGCGGUGCUAAUCCCGCAUACGCUCGUGCAAACGAGGAAAGCUUGGCAACAAGCGCGGACGGAGGGGCCUGCGGCCCAUCAGGUUGUGGCGGGGUAAUGGCCCACCAAGCCGAUGACGGGUAGCUGGUCUGUGAGGACAGACAGCCAGACUGGGACUGAGACACGGCCCAGACUCCUACGGGAGGCAGCAGCAAGGAAUUUUCGUCAAUGGGCGCAAGCCUGAACGAGCAACGCCGCGUGGAGGAUGACGGCCUUGGUUGUAAC